AAGAGAGGUGAGAGACGUAAGAGAGGUGAGAGACGUAAGAGAGGUUAGAGACGUAAGAGAGGUUAGAGACGUAAGAGAGGUGAGAGACGUAAGAGAGGUUAGAGACGUAAGAGAGGUGAGAGACGUAAGAGAGGUUAGAGACGUAAGAGAG